rnacentral:rRNA from 1 species
AUUGAACGCUGGCGGCAGGCCUAACACAUGCAAGUCGAGCGAGCGGCGGACGGGUGAGUAAUGUCUGGGAAACUGCCUGCUGGAGGGGGAUAACUACUGGAAACGGUAGCUAAUACCGCAUACCAUCAGAUGUGCCCAGAUGGGAUUAGCUAGUAGGUGGGGUAACGGCUCACCUAGGCGACGAUCCCUAGCUGGUCUGAGAGGAUGACCAGCAACACUGGAACUGAGACACGGUGCAGACGCCUACGGGAGGCAGCAGUGGGGAAUAGUGGACAAGGGGGGCAAGCCUGAGGCAGACAUGCCGCGUGUGGGAAGAAGGCCUGCGGGUUGUAAAGCAGUUUCAGCGGGGAGGCGUUACCCGCAGAAGAAGCACCGGCUAACUCCGUGCCAGCAGCCGCGGUAAUUC